rnacentral:rRNA from 1 species
UACGUAGGGUGCGAGCGUUGCCCGGAUUUAUUGGGCGUAAAGGGCGUGUAGGCGGACUGUUAAGUCUGGCGUGAAAGCUCCCGGCUAAACCGGGAGAGGUCGUUGGAUACUGGCAGACUAGAGGGUGGUAGAGGCGUGUGGAAUUCCGGGUGUAGUGGUGAAAUGCGUAGAGAUCCGGAGGAACACCAGUGGCGAAGGCGACACGCUGGGCCAUACCUGACGCUAAAGCGCGACAGCAUGGGGAGCAAACGGG